rnacentral:rRNA from 1 species
GAUGAACGCUGGCGGCGUGCCUAAUACAUGCAAGUCGAGCGAACGGACGAGAAGCUUGCUUCUCUGAUGUUAGCGGCGGACGGGUGAGUAACACGUGGAUAACCUACCUAUAAGACUGGGAUAACUUCGGGAAACCGGAGCUAAUACCGGAUGAUAUUUUGAACCGCAUGGUUCAAAAGUGAAAGACGGUCUUGCUGUCACUUAUAGAUGGAUCCGCGCUGCAUUAGCUAGUUGGUAAGGUAACGGCUUACCAAGGCAACGAUGCAUAGCCGACCUGAGAGGGUGAUCGGCCACACUGGAACUGAGACACGGUCCAGACUCCUACGGGAGGCAGCGUAGGGAAUCCUCCGCAAUGGGCGAAAGCCUGACGGAGCAACGCCGCGUGAGUGAUGAAGGUCUUCGGAUCGUAAAACUCUGUUAUUAGGGAAGAACAUAUGUGUAAGUAACUGUGCACAUCUUGACGGUACCUAAUCAGAAAGCCACGGCUAACUACGUG